rnacentral:misc_RNA from 1 species
GUGAAUCAUCGAAUCUUUGAACGCAUAUUGCGCUCUUUGGUAUUCCGAAGAGCAUGCUUGUUUGAGUAUCAGUAAACACCUCAACCUCCUCUUGAUUUUUCAAAAGGAGGGUGGACUUGAGCUAUCCCAACAACCUUCACCGGUAGGCGGGCGGCUUGAAAUGCAGGUGCAGCUGGACUUUUAUCUGAGCUAAAAGCAUAUCUAUUUAGUCCUCGUCAAACAGGAUUAUUACUAUUGCUGCAGCUAACAUAAAGGAUAAUUGUCCUCAUUGCUGACUGAUGCAGGAUUUUACGACACUUU